rnacentral:rRNA from 1 species
CUGUCCUACGGGGCGCAGCAGUGGGGAAUAUUGCACAAUGGGGGAAACCCUGAUGCAGCGACGCCGCGUGAGUGAAGAAGUAUUUCGGUAUGUAAAGCUCUAUCAGCGGGGAAGAAAUAGCGACCUUUGGGUCGCCAGACGGUACCUGACUAAGAAGCCCCGGCUAACUACGUGCCAGCAGCCGCGGUAAUACGUAGGGGGCAAGCGUUAUCCGGAUUUACUGGGUGUAAAGGGAGCGCAGGCGGCGUGGCAAGUCAGAUGUGACAACCCGGGGCCCAACCCCGGGAGUGCAUUUGAAACUGCCA